rnacentral:rRNA from 1 species
GACGAACGCUGGCGGCGUGCUUAACACAUGCAAGUCGAACGGAAAGGCCUGCUUUCCCUUGUGGAUUGCGGGUACUCGAGUGGCGAACGGGUGAGUAACACGUGAGUGAUCUGCCCCCAACUUGGGUAUAAGCCUGGGAAACUGGGUCUAAUUCCCGAUAGGACUGCAGGGUGGUGCCUGUGGUGGAAAACGAUUUUCUAGUGGUUGGGGAUGAGCUCGCGGCCUAUCAGCUUGUUGGUGGGGUAAUGGCCUACCAAGGCGGCGACGGGUAGCCGGCCGGAGAGGGUGGACGGCCACAUUGGGACGGGGAUACGGCCCAGACUCCGACGGGAGGCAGCAGUGGGGAAUAUUGCACAAUGGGCGGAAGCCUGAUGCAGCGACGCCGCGUGGGGGAUGACGGCCUUCGGGUUGUAAACUCCUUUCGACCGCGAGGAAGCCACCUGGUUGGAAGGGUGGUGACGGUAGUGGUAGAAGAAGCACCGGCUAACUACGUG